GCUAAAGCCUUGGGAGAUAUUUUUUGCGCCAUAGCAAGUAGGUGGUGGCGGCUGGAUUUGUGGAGGUGAUUCUUGGGUUUUAGUGAGAGAAAAAAAGAGGCCAAGGUUUCGGGUUCUAGAGGGAGAAACAUGGUGCGGAGAUUGCGUUUGAGUUAGCCUACCAUCAGGGAAAUAAUACUGGUUUGCAAAUGUUGUGCACAGUGAUGAUUAGAAGAAGGCACAGCUUCCUACCUAACGAAUGAUGUAAUCCAAUUCAAUAAGGAAACAGUUUUCUGAUUUUUUUACUAGAAAUCCUUAAAAAAAUAGUGUCAAGUGAGGCCCCCAUUAUUAA